UGGGGAAUAUUGGACAAUGGGCGCAAGCCUGAUCCAGCCAUGCCGCGUGAGUGAUGAAGGCCCUAGGGUUGUAAAGCUCUUUCACCGGUGAAGAUAAUGACGGUAACCGGAGAAGAAGCCCCGGCUAACUUCGUGCCAGCAGCCGCGGUAAUACGAAGGGGGCUAGCGUUGUUCGGAUUUACUGGGCGUAAAGCGCACGUAGGCGGACUUUUAAGUCAGGGGUGAAAUCCCGGGGCUCAACCCCGGAACUGCCUUUGAUACUGGAAGUCUUGAGUAUGGUAGAGGUGAAUGGAAUUCCGAGUGUAGAGGUGAAAUUCGUAGAUAUUCGGAGGAACACCAGUGGCGAAGGCGGCUCACUGAACCAUUACUGACGCUGAGGUGCGAAAGCAUGGGGAGCAAACAGG
rnacentral:rRNA from 1 species